rnacentral:rRNA from 1 species
AGCAUGUGGUUUAAUUCGAUGAUACGCGAAGAACCUUUACCAGGGUUUGACAUGCAAGUGGUAGGAAGCCGAAAGGUGACCGACCCUUCGGGGAGCUUGCACAGGUGCUGCAUGGCUGUCGUCAGCUCGUGUCGUGAGAUGUUCGGUUAAGUCCGCUAACGAGCGCAACCCUCGCUGUGUGUUAUAUGUGUCACACAAUACCGCCGGUAUUAAGCCGGAGGAAGGUGCGGAUGACGUCAAGUCAGCAUGACCUUUAUAUCCAGGGCUACACACACGCUACAAUGGACAGUACAACAGGUUGCCAAGCCGCGAGGCGGAGCCAAUCCUCUAAAGCUGUCCUCAGUUCAGAUUGCAGGCUGCAACUCGCCUGCAUGAAGUUGGAGUUGCUAGUAACCGCAGGUCAGCUAUACUGCGGUGAAUACGUUCCCGGGGAUU